UACGUAGGGUGCAAGCGUUGUCCGGAAUUAUUGGGCGUAAAGAGCUCGUAGGCGGUCUGUCGCGUCGGCUGUGAAAUCCCGGAGCUCAACUCCGGGCCUGCAGUCGAUACGGGCAGACUAGAGUGCGGUAGGGGAGACUGGAAUUCCUGGUGUAGCGGUGAAAUGCGCAGAUAUCAGGAGGAACACCGGUGGCGAAGGCGGGUCUCUGGGCCGUAACUGACGCUGGAGGAGCGAAAGCGUGGGGAGCGAACAGG
rnacentral:rRNA from 1 species